rnacentral:rRNA from 1 species
UACGAAGGGGGCUAGCGUUGCUCGGAAUCACUGGGCGUAAAGCGCACGUAGGCGGCUUUCUAAGUCAGGGGUGAAAUCCUGGAGCUCAACUCCAGAACUGCCUUUGAUACUGGAGAGCUUGAGUCCGGAAGAGGAGAGUGGAAUUCCUGGUGUAGCGGUGAAAUGCGCAGAUAUCAGGAAGAACACCAAUGGCGAAAGCAGCUCUCUGGGACGGUACUGACGCUGAGACGCGAAAGCGUGGGGAGCGAACAGG